CACACAUAGAGUGUUUCUUAAAUAGAUAGCCAUACUUUAAGAGCAUAUUCUACUUACUAGUAAGAAUGAAAAAAAUCAUAUAAAUAUAGGUCCGAAAAUGCUUCCUUUCCUGAUUUUAAACUUUUUAUUUACCUCAAACAUCAUACAUUAAUACGAAAAAAAAUCAUUUUCAGCAGUUUUUGUAAUAAAAUAUUCCAAUAGUUCCAAAAGUUUUCGAAAUCUGUCAUAAACUAAAAAUGUUUAUAAAUUAUUAAGAAAGUGUUUUCGUAACCAUGUCUAUAUAACUAUUUUUAAACUUUUUAUUUACUUCAAACAGCAUACAUUAAUACGGAAAAAAAUAAUUUUCAGCAGUUUUUAUAAUAAACUAUUCCAAUAGUUUUAAAUCCAAUAGUUCUCGAAAUCUGUCAUAAACCAAAAAUGUUUAUAAAUUAUAAAGAAAUUGUUUUAGUAACCAUGUCUAUAUGACUAUUUUUCUAUUCUUUGAUUGACUAGAAUAUACACUUAAAAUUCGACGAUUAAUAUCUGAUACAUCUUGUAUGAUAAGAUAUAAAAUUAUCUGUUAAGAAGCGAAUAAUACGACAGUAACUAUUCUAUUCUAUUCUAUUCUAUUCUAUUCUAUUCUAUUCUUAUAUUCUAUUCUAUUCUAUAUCUUUCUUUCUUUUUUUUUUUAUACAUGCUUCUUAACAACAUCGAAGAAAAACUACGGAGUACCUGUUCAAAAAAGUAUAUACUUUUCACGUGUCACGAUAAAUCGAGAGAGAAGGGACAAUAUUUCCCUAACGCGCUUUUAGUUCUUUUUUUAUCCGUAUCUGUCGCUAAAGUCACACAUGAUUCCAAGAGAAAACGGGAGAUGGAUGUUCGCAGGGAGAACGUCUGGGAUGUGGCGAAUAAAACGGAAAGAACAAAAGAAUGAAAGAGACAGAGACAGAUACAGAGAGAGAGAGAGAGAGAGAGAGAA